UGUGAGGGAAGAAGGCUUUCGGGUCGUAAACCUCUGUCAGAAGGGAAGAACAGCAUGUGGCCCAAUAGGCCGCAUGCCUGACGGUACCUUCAGAGGAAGCGCCGGCUAACUCCGUGCCAGCAGCCGCGGUAAUACGGAGGGCGCGAGCGUUAAUCGGAAUCACUGGGCGUAAAGCGUACGUAGGCGGCGACGUAAGUCAGACGUGAAAGCCCUCGGCUCAACCGAGGAAUUGCGUUUGAUACUGCGUUGCUUGAGUCCUGGAGAGGGUGGCGGAAUUCCGGGUGUAGGAGUGAAAUCCGUAGAUAUCCGGAGGAACACCGGUGGCGAAGGCGGCCACCUGGACAGGUACUGACGCUGAGGUACGAAAGCGUGGGGAGCAAACAGGAUUAGAUACCCUGGUAGUCCACGCUGUAAACGAUGGAUGCUAGGUGUCGGGGGGCGACCUUCGGUGCCGAAGUUAACGCAUUAA
rnacentral:rRNA from 1 species